GAACGCUGGCGGCAUGCUUUACACAUGCAAGUCGAACGGCAGCACGGGUGCUUGCACCUGGUGGCGAGUGGCGGACGGGUGAGUAAUACAUCGGAACGUGUCCAGAAGAGGGGGAUAACGCAUCGAAAGAUGUGCUAAUACCGCAUAUACUCUAAGGAGGAAAGCAGGGGAUCGAAAGACCUUGCGCUUUUGGAGCGGCCGAUGUCUGAUUAGCUAGUUGGUGGGGUAAGGGCCUACCAAGGCGACGAUCAGUAGUUGGUCUGAGAGGACGACCAGCCACACUGGGACUGAGACACGGCCCAGACUCCUACGGGAGGCAGCAGUGGGGAAUUUUGGACAAUGGGCGCAAGCCUGAUCCAGCAAUGCCGCGUGAGUGAAGAAGGCCUUCGGGUUGUAAAGCUCUUUCAGUCGAGAAGAAAAGGCUGCAGUGAAUAACUGUAGUUUAUGACGGUAUCGACAGAAGAAGCACCGGCUAACUACGUG
rnacentral:rRNA from 1 species